CUGGCUGCUGUGGUGAAUUCCAAGACAAGGAGGGCCGCCUGUUCACUCCAAUCACUAAAAGCCCCUUACAAAUUUUCAAGAACUUGGGAGCUUUCAGUUGCAGUGGAUUAUAAGAGGCACUGGAACAGCUGAUAUACUGAGGACCUCCCACCUGAACAGGACGAUUGAACUUUGCUUUGGUAAGGGAUGACUUGCUGGAAGAUGAAAAGCCUUGUGGUGGAACAUGAGUGGAGCUCUUCACAGCUCCCCAGGCAUUGCUGGUGCAGCAUGGGGCAGACGGUGUGGUACAGGAUGACACAAGCGACAUCUUGGAAGAGCCAAAGCUUGAGACAGGUCUUCAAGGAUUGGUACCAUCUGGACAGGUUGAAGAGGAGUAGGAGGGCUUUCAGAUGUGGAGAAUGGCAUGCACAAAAGCACGGAGAACACUUUAUGCCAGUUGGAUUAUGGUCCAUUGGGAGAAAGAUCAAUUAAGGUGAAACCACAGUAGAGAAAGCACUGGAGAACAAUUCAUUCUUCCUUAAUAAAUCUUAGUUUUAAAUAUUUGCUUUGAGUUUUGUUCCAUUAAUAAAGAAAAU
rnacentral:lncRNA from 1 species